ensembl:lncRNA
GUGUGUUUGAGCUUUCAUCAACUGUAUAUGAACAUAUGUAGAAGUAAUAUUACAAACACAAUGGCAUACAGUGCUUCUGUAAAGGGAAAAAUACUAUUAGAGUUAAUGUAUUUAUCUAUUAGAUUUCUGAGUUACUUAAUUACUUAGGCCCAUCGCCCCAUGAGAAGCAUAGGCCAUCAACUGGCCAUCAACUGAGUUGACUUCAUGUAUCUGAAAUUAUCUAGAAUUUAAUCCCAAUGAAAUGAUACAAUCAUUUACUAUUCUCCUAAACUAUAAUGUUAAUGUGUAGGACAUAUGAUUGUGUUAGCAGACAUACAGUAGUAGCUAUGCAAUAUACUGGACCGUAUGGGAUGCCCCAUAUGUAUCAUCAUAACUUCUUCUAAUGGGGAUUGGUUGAUGACACUACACCAUCAACCAUCAUGACAAAUUGGCUGAUGACACUACACCAUCAACAUAGGCUGAUGACACUACACCAUCAACAUAGGCUGAUGACACUACACCAUCAACAUAGGCUGAUGACACUACACCAUCAACAUAGGCUGAUGACACUACACCAUCAACAUAGGCUGAUGACACUACACCAUCAACAUAGGCUGAUGACACUACAGCAUCAACAUAGGCUGAUGACACUAGCUCAAAUGUUAUGCCUUUUUUUUGUUCACUUGUUCUCAUCAAUUUUGUUUCUGCAACCUUAUUUAACUUUUCUGUAUCACUUUGUUUACCAAAAUGAGCACUUGUUUUGGAAGUGACCCUAAAUGAAGGAUGCUUUCCUUGGGAGGGCAUGGGUUGACUAUAUUUUAUAUGCAACUUUUGUAAAAGUCUACAUUUUAUACCUGAUUUGUAAUUAUGUAAAUGAAGGCUCCAGAUGAUCAAAUCAGAUAAUGUAUGCUUCUGAUUGGAGAGCAACGUCAGGAUAAAGCACAAGUGGACUUUAAUUGUGAACUUAACAUAUAUAUUGUAUCUGCUUAUUACCAUACUGGAAUUUAUUUCAAUUGCAAAUUAAACACAGCUUUUCUCACAA